AUGGCUCAGGAUGAACGCUGGCGGCGUGCCUAAUACAUGCAAGUCGAACGAGGUAGCAAUACCGAGUGGCGAACGGGUGAGUAACACGUAGGUAACCUGCCUUACAGUUUGGGAUACCCGAGGGAAACCUUGGCUAAUACCGAAUAAUUCUUUUGGAGGCAUCUCCAGAAGCUAAAAGGGGCCUUUAAAGCCUCGCUGAAAGAUGGACCUGCGGCGCAUUAGCUAGUUGGUGAGAUAACAGCCCACCAAGGCGAGGAUGCGUAGCCGACCUAAGAGGGUGAACGGCCACACUGGAACUGAGACACGGUCCAGACUCCUACGGGAGGCAGCAGUAGGGAGUUUUCGGCAAUGGGGGAAACCCUGACCGAGCAACGCCGCGUGAACGAAUGGAGGUCUUCGGAUUGUAAAGUUCUGUUAUAAGGGAAGAAUGAUAACUUGAGGAAAUGCUAGUUAUUUGACGGUACCUUAUUAGAAAGCCACGGCUAACUACGUGCCAGCAGCCGC
rnacentral:rRNA from 1 species